UGGGUAUCGAGUAUCGAGUAUCGAUUGGAACCGGGACUAACUUUCCGAUUCUCCCGGAAUCGUUCAAAAGUUUAAAUUUCGAUUCCUAGUUUCGAUACCCAGUCCGCCGACCGGAAAAAAAGAAUAAGUCCGCCGACCGGAAGAAGAAGCCGCUGAACACCAACGAAGAAGCGCCCACCGCCGGAAGUGUUAGCAUAGCCGAGCCUAUGUAGCCGAGCGAGUCAGUCAAGGGUGUCGGCGGUCAAAAGUGUGGCUUUAUUUUACUAAAAAAAAUGAAAUAUCGGCGAAAUGUAACACGUGCGACAGGACUGUUUCGUGCUUAGGAGGGUGCACGUCGAACAUGAUGAAGCACCUCCGAGUUCAUGGAGUACAAAUAAAUGCGUGUCCCGUCUUCGACGCGCUGCGCCGACCGUCCUCUGCCUCCGACGCCUAGCCUGGCACCUCGGUGACUGCACUGCAGUCCGAAUCCGACAAUUUACAACCUGCUAGCCAGGCUCCGCGAUGUGCUCAGCGUACUCCGUUCACCGUAGCGGCAAUGGGGAAGAUGUCGGUGCCACAGACGGAAAAGUGCCACAGAAAGGUCACUGCACACAUAGUCAAAAGACUGCGUCCUUUUUCAGAGGUGGAAUCUCCAACAUUUCGGGAUAUGGUGAAAACUCUCAACCCAAAAUACAUACCACCUUCCAGGGACUACCUGUCAAACACAUGGUACAAGAAGAAUCGGAAUCGAGAAUCGUCAGGAAUCGGAAACGAAACAAAGAAUCGGAAUCGGAAUCGUUCGAACUCAAACGAUACCCAACCCUAUUACGGACUGUAUCCCUUGCAGAUUGUAUUGAUAUAUAUUGAUGUAUAAUGUAGGAACCAGAAUAUUAAUAACAAAGAAACAACCUUUUUGUGUGAAUGAGGGAGGUUUUUUGGGUUGGUGCACUAAUUGUAAGUGUAUCUUGUGUUUUUGACCAUAGGUAAGGAGCUUUGGGUUAUGACCGAAAGGACAAGAUCAC